rnacentral:rRNA from 1 species
GACAGAGGUGCCAAGCGUUAGGCGGAAUCACUGGGCUUAAAGCGUGUGUAGGCGGAUUUGUAAGUACCUUGUGAAAUCCCAUGGCUCAACCAUGGAACUGCUCGGUAUACUGCGAAUCUUGAGCCACUUAGGGGCUACCGGAACAAAUGGUGGAGCGGUGAAAUGCGUAGAUAUCAUUUGGAACGCCAAUGGUGAAAACAGGUAGCUGGGAGUGUGCUGACGCUGAGACACGAAAGCCAGGGGAGCGAACGGGG